rnacentral:misc_RNA from 1 species
AGCAGCCGCGGUAAUUCCAGCUCCAAUAGCGUAUAUUAAAGUUGUUGCAGUUAAAAAGCUCGUAGUUGAAUUUCGGGAUCAAUUAAUCGGUCAUGCCUCUGGUACGCACUGGUUUUAUUGGUUUCUCCCUUCUGACGAACCAGGAUGUCAUUAAUUUGGUGUCUUGGAGAAUCAGGACUGUUACUUUGAAAAAAUUUAGAGUGUUUAAAGCAGGCUAACGCUUGAAUACAUUAGCAUGGAAUAAUGAAAUAGGACGUUUGAUCCUAUUUUGUUGGUUUCUAGGAUCGACGUAAUGAUUAAUAGGGAUAGUUGGGGGCAUUAGUAUUCAAUUGUCAGAGGUGAAAUUCUUGGAUUUAUUGAAGACUAACUACUGCGAAAGCAUUUGCCAAGGAUGUUUUCAUUAAUCAAGAACGAAAGUUAGGGGAUCGAAGACGAUCAGAUACCGUCGUAGUCUUAACCAUAAACUAUGCCGACUAGGGAUCGGAUGAUGUUAAUUUUUUAAUGACUCAUUCGGCGCCUU